rnacentral:lncRNA from 1 species
GAAAUCCACUUUAGGGUUACUUCCGCAGAUCUCGGACAAACUUGGAUUUGGUGCCUUUACUGCUUUUAGGGUCUGACCGAGCCCCCUCGCUUACAGUGCAACAUCCCCCCCCCCCCCCCCCCCCCCCCCCCCCCCCCCCCCCCCCCCCCCCCCCNCCCCCCCCCCCCCCCCCCCGCCAGUCGCGGAGGGGCGGGGAGAAAGCAAUCUCGGCACCGGGUCCACUCCGCCCGCUGCCAACCCCCAGGACCGCCCGCUCCUCUCCACAGCCGAGCCCCGGCUCGCCGGCGCCACACGCCCGCAGAAGCAGCCGCGGCCACCGCCCCCCCCCGCCCCUGCGGAGCCCCCUCCGGCAGCCGCCCCGGGCACUGAGGCGGGGCGGGCCUGUCCCCGUCCCCGUCCCGCCCCGCGCGCCUACCUCGUCGCCGAAGCGCACCACCUUCUGGCCGGUGCUGAGGCGGAGGCUGGGGUAGGAGGCGGGCGGCGCGGCGGGCCGGGCGGCGCCGCGGUGCGCGGCGUAGCGGGCCUGGACGUGCGGCUCCACCAGGCACUUGUCGAUGAUCUCGUCCUGCUGGCGGGGCGGCAGCCGCUCCCACUCGGGCCCGUAGCGCUCGCGGAUCCGCUCCUUCUCCGCCAUGAUCUUGCGCGCCAUAGGGCUCAGCGAGGAGAAGUAGCUGAACCGCUUGCGCUCCCGCUCGUCCAGCGGCCGGUUGCCGUUCAUCACCGCCGUGCGGGAGGCGGCGAUCGCCGCCGCCAUGGAGGCCAUGGCCACCCCCGCCGCCGCCAGCCCCGCGCGCACCGAGCCGGGCGCGCUCGCACGGCGGGAAUGGGAACGGGAAUGGGAACCGCCUCCUCCGCCGCCGCCGCCGCCCCCCGCCUCCUCCUCCUCCCUUCCCUUCCCUGCUCCGCUCCCCGCCUGCAAACACCGCCUCUCCUCGCUCCCUAUAAAGGCCGCCGCCCCGCACACCCCGCCUCCCGCACGCCCGGCCGGCCUCCCCCGCGGCGCUCCGGGGCGGGGGCAGGCGGCUGUUCUCCCUCUGCCCAGCGGGAGCAGCCCGAGCGGCCGGCGGCACCGCUACCGGCGG